UUUUUAAAAAUAAUUUUAGAACCACAUAAAACACACAUAUAUACAUAUAGCUUUACCUAACAAAAAUGUGUGGUCAGUUUUCAUGAAUGUUUACCCUUGCAGUGUUGUACAAUUAUUUGAUUUGUAAUGUGUUUCAGUUUCAUUUAUGAUUAUGUCAACAAUAAAUGACACUAUGUAAAGAAAACCAUAGGCACAUAUAGCAGUUGGGAAGC
rnacentral:lncRNA from 1 species